rnacentral:tRNA from 1 species
UGGGCUGUAGCUCAGUGGUAGAGCGCUUGCCUUGCAUGCAUGAGGUACUGGGUUCAAUCUUCAGCACCACAU